rnacentral:rRNA from 1 species
AUUGAACGCUGGCGGCAGGCCUAACACAUGCAAGUCGAGCGGAUGAGAGGAGCUUGCUUCUCGAUUCAGCGGCGGACGGGUGAGUAAUGCCUAGGAAUCUGCCUGAUAGUGGGGGACAACGUUUCGACAGGAACGCUAAUACCGCAUACGUCCUACGGGAGAAAGCAGGGGACCUUCGGGCCUUGAGCUAUCAGAUGAGCCUAGGUCGGAUUAGCUAGUUGGUGAGGUAAUGGCUCACCAAGGCGACGAUCCGUAACUGGUCUGAGAGGAUGAUCAGUCACACUGGAACUGAGACACGGUCCAGACUCCUACGGGAGGCAGCAGUGGGGAAUAUUGGACAAUGGGCGAAAGCCUGAUCCAGCCAUGCCGCGUGUGUGAAGAAGGUCUUCGGAUUGUAAAGCACUUUAAGUUGGGAGGAAGGGUUGUAGAUUAAUACUCUGCAAUUUUGACGUUACCGACAGAAUAAGCACCGGCUAACUCUGUGCCAGCCGCCGCCGUAAAAC